CCUACGGGGUGCUGCAGUGAGGAAUAUUGGUCAAUGGGCGCGAGCCUGAACCAGCCAAGUCGCGUGAGGGAUGAAGGUUCUAUGGAUCGUAAACCUCUUUUAUAAGGGAAUAAAGUGUGGGACGUGUCCUAUUUUGUAUGUACCUUAUGAAUAAGGAUCGGUAACCCCGUGCCAGCAGCCGCGGUAAUACGGAGGAUCCGGGCGUUUUCCGGAUUUAUUGGGUUUAAAGGGUUCGUAGGCGGCCUUUUAAGUCAGCGGUGAAAGUCUGUGGCACAACCAUAGAAUUGCCGUUGAAAAUGGGGGGCUUGAGUAUGUUUGAGGCAGGCGGAAUGCGUGGGGUAGCGGUGAAAUGCUUAGAUAUCACGCAGAACCCCGAUUGCGAAGGCAGCCUGCCAAGCCAUGACUGACGCUGAUGCACGAAAGCGUGGGGAUCAAACAGGAUUAGAUACCCCGGUAGUC
rnacentral:rRNA from 1 species